CUUUAAAACUACAAAAUGUAAAAGCUCUUUCCUUUCUCUGCUGCAUCUUCAGCCACAGUAUGCUCAGGCUUCAGAAGAGGCUUGCUUCUACUGUCCUCUGCUGUAGUAAAAAAGAAGCCUGUGACUGUCCAUCCUGGGGACUCUACGCUGAAAAAACACCUUAGCUCGACAGAAGGACAGGCAUAUGGGAAGCAGAAAAGUACUACCAGUGCUUGAAUGCCAGAGAAGGUAGCCUAGGUGAGAAGAAUGUGAAUCCUGUGCUGGCCUCUCAGAAGAUACAGUGAAUCUAAGACGGACUGCUAUGGGUAUCACAGCCUGUACCUGAAGGUCAAAGGAUCUGCAUUCAAAAACAAGUGGAUUCUAAUGGAGCACAUUCAUAAGCUGCAGGUAGACAAGGCCAGCAAGAAGCUUCUGGCUAACCAGGCUGAGGUCAAGAACCAAGAAAACACAAAUGAGCUAAGAGGAGUGUCUCCAGGCCAAGAAGGAGGGGAUCUUCAAGACUCUGUCCAAGGAAGAAGAGACCAAGAAAUAA
rnacentral:lncRNA from 1 species